rnacentral:lncRNA from 1 species
AGUCGUUCAAGUGCUUUCUGAUGAGCCCAAGUUUCAAUAGUGAGAUCAGGCUUAGCAUUGAGACCAACACCAAGGAUCACAAUCGUUAAGAAGCUAGUGAUGUAGCAAGGCAACUCCCAGUCUUCCCAUUUACGAGGCUGUCCAGGUGGUAGUGGGGUCCGAUUGAAUAGGUAACCUUUCGGUUGUUCCUCGUGUCCCGGCGAUGUCCAUCUCCCAGAUGAUGCUCCGCCGCGGGUUCUGAGGGCGGAGGAGAUUCGAUGGCGGAGCAUGGAGGAUGCCGUCAUGAAGGGCAUUGUUUUUGGGUUUUCUGAGAGAGGUG